GACGAACGCUGGCGGCGUGCUUAACACAUGCAAGUCGAACGGAAAGGCCCUGCUUUUGUGGGGUGCUCGAGUGGCGAACGGGCGAGUAACACGUGAGUAACCUGCCCUUGACUUUGGGAUAACUUCAGGAAACUGGGGCUAAUACCGGAUAGGAGCUCCUGCUGCAUGGUGGGGGUUGGAAAGUUUCGGCGGUUGGGGAUGGACUCGCGGCUUAUCAGCUUGUUGGUGGGGUAGUGGCUUACCAAGGCUUUGACGGGUAGCCGGCCUGAGAGGGUGACCGGCCACAUUGGGACUGAGAUACGGCCCAGACUCCUACGGGAGGCAGCAGUGGGGAAUAUUGCACAAUGGGCGGAAGCCUGAUGCAGCAACGCCGCGUGCGGGAUGACGGCCUUCGGGUUGUAAACCGCUUUCGCCUGUGGCGAAGCGUGGGUGACGGUAAUGGGUAAAGAAGCACCGGCUAACUACGUG
rnacentral:rRNA from 1 species